UUGUAAGGUUAAGGAAUAAAGGGCACACAGUGAAUGCCUAGGCACUAAGAGCCGACGAAGGACGCAACUAACGGCGAAACGCCACGGGGAGCAGUAAGUACGCGACGAUCCGUGGGAAUCCGAAUGGGGAAACCCACCUCAUGGAAGAUGAGGUAUCCAACACUUGUGGUUGGAGGGAAAACGCAGGGAACUGAAAUAUCUAAGUACCUGCAGGAAAAGAAAGUAAUAACGAUUCUGCUAGUAGCGACGAGCGAACGCGGAGGAGCCUAACACCAGAAUAGUUACAAAACCAUAGAUUAGAAGAAUGGCGUGGGAAAGCCAACCAUAGAGGGUGAGAGUCCUGUAUUCGAAAAUGUAUGGACUAGGGUGUUGAGAAGUACGGCGAGACACGAGGAAUCUUGUCGGAAGAUGUGAGGACCAUCUCAUAAGGCUAAAUACUCCUUAGUGACCGAUAGUGAACCAGUACCGUGAGGGAAAGGUGAAAAGAACCCCGGGAGGGGAGUGAAAUAGAUCCUGAAACUGUGUGCUUACAAUUAGUCAGAGCUCGUUAAUGAGUGAUGGCAUGCCUUUUGUAGAAUGAACCGGCGAGUUACGGUAUCUAGCAAGGUUAAGUCUAAAGGGACGGAGCCGAAGCGAAAGCGAGUCUGAAUAGGGCGUUAAGUUAGAUGCUGUAGACCCGAAACUGGGUGAGCUAGCCAUGAGCAGGUUGAAGUUUGGGUAAGACCAAAUGGAGGACCGAACCAGGGAUUGUUAAAAAAAUCUUGGAUGACUUGUGGCUAGGGGUGAAAUUCCAAUCGAACUCAGAGAUAGCUGGUUCUCCCCGAAAUAGCUUUAGGGCUAGCGUUGACAUAUAAGUUUUAUGAAGGUAGAGCACUGAAUGUGUGAUGGCCCCACCUCGGGGUACUGAGCCCAAUCAAACUCCGAAUGUCAUAAAAUGUGGUCAGCAGUCAGACUGUGGGUGAUAAGGUUCAUGGUCAAAAGGGAAAGAGCCCAGACCGCCAGAUAAGGUCCCAAAAUUGAUGCUAAGUGGAAAAGGAAGUGGAGAUGCACAAACAACUAGGAGGUUGGCUUAGAAGCAGCCAUCCUUUAAAGAGUGCGUAAAAGCUCACUAGUCGAGUGAAUCUGCGCCGAAAAUGUACCGGGGCUA
rnacentral:rRNA from 1 species